CUCAGAUGUCACUGGGAAAACAGUCUCUGGGAGGGGGGUGGCCGUGACUCGGGACAGACAUGGAGUUACUGCAGAGCUGGGGGUCGCGCCAGGGCUUCUCCAGCCCCAAACCGCUGCGUGUGGGUCCCCAUCGAGGCGAGGGGCGGCGCCCCCGACUUAGCAGUAGGCCGGUGGCCGAUUCCCUGUCAGCCCUCCCUCCUCCCCGCUGCCUCCUGGCUUGACUGGCAGCUCCAGGGGGCAGCUAGCUGGAUCACUCUGCCCAGAAUAAUCCUGGGAGGGACCGGGAGAGGGGUCACCCAUGAGAGUGUCCUUCUUCCUUCGGUUGCCCAAACGGGCCAGACCAAUCAGCUGCUCCCCAGGCCACGCUUGCCUUUCAAGGCAAGCGGGCAGAGGAAGGAGCUGGUGCCAGCUGCCCGCCUGGGACCCACGCUCACUUAGAGCGUGACCUUCUCUUCCUGGGCCCUCAGUUUACCCAGAACUGCAAGGAGGGCUUGGGCAGGGGGUGUUCUCACUCUGUUCCUAUAGCUCGGGGGUCCUGGGAGGUGCCUGAGGGGUGACCUGGGGAGCAGCGGUAAGAAGAGGGGGUUGGCUGAGCAGGUAGAGCUCAGUGACCCCACCCUGACUCAAUUCCGGAAGCUGGGGGUCCUCAUUACUAUUUAAAGAUAGUGUUAGAAAUUGGGGAUCCUCAUACUAUCUCAUUUAAAGAGAGGUCCCCGCAUGCAAGUCGUGCCUGGGAGCACAGCCUGGCUCGUCCUGUCUGUGGUUUAUCCUGUCUGACCUUGGAGCUGGAGGAGCGGGGUGGUUUCAGUGGAAUCUCUUUGGGUCCCUCUGUGCCUGGUGUGGACGGGCCAGGAGCUGUAGGCCUCGGGGCAGAGGGUUCUUGGAGAAGGGGGGUGAGGACUUGGAGGGAGAUGAGGGGGGCUUGGCCUUGAUGCAAGUGGAAGUACAGCCAGAGUGGGAGGCAGACUCCUUCCCCAGGGGAGAUGGGCCCUUUGUAAGCUGGGAGACACUCCCGACAAGGAAAGGCCUGGGAUUAUCAUGAGGACUCUUGGGACACCUGUUGUAAUUGGACGGUCAGCCCUCAGAGGACAUUUUCACGCCUGGGCCAGCUUUAAUUUCCACACUCACGCCGUGAGGCAAGCGAGUGUGCCGGAGCCCCAGGGCCGAAGUGACUUGCCCCGGAGCUCUGAUUAGCAGUGGCCGUGGCAUCGGGAGCCAGACCACGGAGCGUCCCGGCAGCAGCCGGCUGAUGAGGGAAGCUAGCGAGGGGUGGGCUGUGCACAGGUGGAGGCGAGUGCCACCCAGACGGGGGCAGUUAGAAUUCAUUUAUCGAAACUGAUGUUUCCCCGGCGUCUGCUCUGUGUCGGGCACCAUCCUCGCCGGCUGGCCCGGGACAGAGUUCCCGUUGCCCCGCCCUGAGAGAGCCCAGUUUCAGGAAGGAAGAGACGGUGUGCAAAGUCAGGUGUUCCCGUUUCCACCGUGGAAGGAGAAAGCAGGAACGCGUGCCCUGGGUCGGGGGUGGACAGUGGCCGCUUGGGGACCCCGAGGGAACCUCGGCCAGAGAGCCUGUUUCCGUUCCAUGGUAUCCGUAUGCUCAGCCUCGUGACCCGACGGGAGGCCAGAGACCAGAGGGGGCCUCGGUGUCUGCCCCCAUCGCCCUGAAAAGGUCACGUGGUCGUUGCCAACUCAUUUUGGCUAAUUUGGUUGUCGGCAGAGGGACAGGACAGCUGGCCUUGGACCUACUAAUUAUAGCCACUCGGGUGUUUGAGCGAGGUACCUAGUCCCCCAUGUCAUAUUUUUUUUCGUGCAAACGAUCCCUUUGACCUUUGUUCCUGAGUGCCGGCCGGCCAAACCCCUGUCCCAUGUAUUGCCCAGCACAGCGCCCCCCACCCCACGAACAAGCCCCCCCCCCCCCCCCGCCGGGGGGAGGUCAGCAUGGUACCUCCAUCCCAAGUCUUACCUUUGAUGCACUUGUUCAGCAGCUCUGAUCCUGUCGCCUUGUCGACUGGAAUCUGUCUUCUUUCUACAAAGUAAUCGGAUACAUGUAUUUCUUUAAUCGUGAAAGUCCGGGUCUUGGGACGUGCGUGCACGUUUCCCUGUACUAACCCCAGCCCGCUCCACAGCCUGCUUUACUGCUUCUCUCCCAGGCCUGUGUCCCAUUCCUACGUUCGGGUACGUCCAUCCUACGUCUUGAGUACUUACUAUGUGCCAGGCAGCCUGUGAAGGUGUUACUUUUAUUGUCCCCGUUUUCCAGAAGAGGAACCUGAGGCUCGGGGGCAAAUCUCGAAUCGUUCGCAGGCCUGACCUCAUUCUCCAGCCGGGCCUGCCUGAGGUCGCACCUCCCGUGGACGCGCGAGCCACCGAGUCCACGCUGGUGCUCGUGCUCAGCUCUCCCCCUGGACUCCCGAGCUCUUGGCAAGACCCCGGUUCUUGUCAGGCCCCCAGUUGGCUCUCGGCAAACGCACAUGAGAGCUGAUGUGAGUCUGGGGUCUGGGUCCCUUGUGUGACCCCGAGAAAGACUCUUGUAAGUAGCAUCUGCCCAGGCUGCUGGCCCUUCCCUCACCUGGGGCCCCGCCCAUGGGGGCCCCCGUGGUGUUCUGUCCUGCCCCUGGUGCCAGUGUGUGCCUGCUAUGCCAUCCCACCCUCCCUUGGCACACAGUAGGGCUGCAGGCAGCAGGUGAGGCCGGAGGCGGCGUCUCCGAGAGGGGGGCUCCGAGAGGCGGGCUGAACUCUGUGAGCAGUCUCUUUUCCCCCCCUCCCAGGUGGCUGGAGGUGAGACAGCUUUUCCCCCAGAAAGGGAGCAGAUGCCUGACCCAGGAUCGAAUCGAAAGGUCUGAAAAAUGCAUUUAUUUUUUCUGAGUUGUAAAUUUGGACAAUUUGCAAAUGUGUGGACCCCUCAGAAUGGAACUAACCUGAGCCUUUUAUUUUGCAGUUGAGGCUCACUGCCCCCUGGAUGGGCAGUGAGUCAGUGGAUUCCAGAGGCCAGGGUGCGGCCCAGCCCUGGCCCCUGCACCCUCGGGAUACCACACCUGCCCAGAGGGGAAUGGGACCCUCCUACGCUGACCCCACAGCAGACCAGUGCCCUCGGCCCCCUGUGUUGCCUGGAUCUGACUUCCCCUGACUGAAAAGACCUCCCAUUUUCUCCUGAGGACUGCACACUGGUUGGCGCGUUCGAAGCAGUGUCCAAAAUCUUUCCUGCAUUUUCAGGGGGGGCGCUGGGCUUACAGAAGGUGAGAGGACUUUGAGAGGUUAGUGACUUGUCCAAAUUCUGCUAGGAAGCAAGACCCAGGAUUCCAGUCCAGGACUGCUGUGAGGAUCAAACAAGAUAAUGUAUGCUAAGGCAUGCUGUGAACACUACGUGCUGGGUACAGGAGAACAGAGGCCCCAGAGUGGGUCUAUUGACGCUCUGUUGAUCGAGAUCUUGGCUGUGACCUCUCUGGCAAGUGAACCAUGGAUCAACCAACAUGAGUGAUGGUGACAGCCGUUGAAAAUGAUCCAGGGUGUUCCUUUUUUAAACGGUUGCUUUCUCUUGCACGAAAUGGGCAUGCCAUAGUUCAUUUAACCAUGCAAUAUUUAUGAGAAUUUUGAAUCUUAUUUGGAUGGAUAAGGCACAUUAAGAAAUGUAAGUAACAGUUGAUGUUCUUAAAUCUUUGGCUGGAAAGUUUUUGAGGGUGUUCAGAAAUAAGUAAAUGAAUGAAUGAAAUGAACAGAUGAAGGAAUAAAGCCAGAGAUGGCAAACAUGGGCCUAUGACAAUAAUCUCUCAUUAUCCCAGAAUUAAGAUUAUUCAGAUUCUGUGCAGUCGGUGCCUCAGUUCAAAGUCCAGACCAUCAUGAUUCGCUUCUGGUUUGGAUGUGACUCUCCUCAUGCAGAAACUUCUAGAGAUGGGAUCUCUGUCCUCAUGGGGUAAACAGGUUGUGUUGGAAACACCUCCAUACCUCCCUGUUGGAAAGGAAGAGAAUAGGAGACAGAGAAGUGUGGAACCCUACCGGGGAAAUGAUGUGAGGUCUCCCUACCUGUGGCUGUCACUGUAUAGGAAAAAAAGAAUAAAGACAGAUGUUGGUAAUAGCCAUCAUUCAUUCUUUUUGUCCUUCUUUUUUUGUCCAUCAAAUUUGGAGUUAGUGGGGUUUUUUUGUUUAUUUAUUUAUUUUUGGUCAUGGUCAUCAUUCUUAUUUUAGGUGAUCAAUUCUAUGGUAUUCACCAGAAUAACAGUUGAGAACCAUUAAUUGGUCAAGUCAAUUAAAAAUAGAGUGCUGUUUUUGGGUCAAUGAUGAGAAGGAGGGCCAAGCAUGGACCAAUAUUGAGAAUGUGGUACAAACAAUGGAUUAUAGCUAAUCUGGGAUUUCACAAUUAACAUUAAUUUACAAAGUUUUAAAUCUAAUACCUUUCAUUUUUUUUUUUAAUACUUGGUUUCUAUUCUACAGAAAGAAUGCACUAGAGCUGAUUAGUCAUCUGUAAUGAUAAACAGCUUGCCUCUGUGGGUAAGGAGCCUGGAGGCUGAUAGUCAGCAUACCCAGUCUGAUUUAUCCACUAUCCCGUGAAGAAGAUCUUGACUGUCACUUUUAUGGAUAAGGAACAAAGUGACUCAUAAUGAAGACACCACGGUUGAUUUAAUCCUAUCUAAUGGUGAAGACUGUGGCUCUGUGGGGAAGGAGCAUUAAAUUCUGAGUCUGCAUUUUCACUAAGUGAACACACCACAGAUGAAGUAAUCAUUCUCUAAUGCUAAAGAUCUUGGCUUUAGCAAACUGUGGGGGUAAGGACAGAAGAAAUUGAUAAUGAACACACAGCUGAUUUAAUCGUUCUAUGAUCGUGAAGACAUGGUUGUGAAUUCUGGGACCGAGAAACAUAAAGACCGAGAAUGAACACUCUACCAGAUUUGAUUAUUAUCUCAUGGUGAAGAUCUUGCCUUUUACCUCUUUGGGAAAGACAGAAGAGAUAAGUAAUGGAGACCAUGGCUGAUUUAACCAGUCUCUACUGAUGAAGAGCUUGGCUGUUAUCUUUCUGGAAUGGAUGAACGAUGAAUCAAUUAUGGAGUAUAGAAACAUAAUGGAUGUGCCAGGCCAGUUGAAGCAUCUCCGUGGUCAUGAGCUGUUUGUUGCCUAGGAGCAUAGAGACCAGUAAUGGAUGCAGUUAAGCUGAUUCUCUGUGGUUGCCUCCAUUGUCAGGAACACAGACACUAAUAGUGGGCACACCAAGGUGAUGAAAGCCAUCUGCCAUGGUUACAGGCUCUAUAUGUAGGAGAUGGAGACCAGUAGUGGAUGCCCUGGAGCUAAUUUAAGGAUUCUUCCAUGGUCAAAAGGCGUCUGCUUGUCUCUGUGUGUUUGGUGUAUAGAAAUACUGGACACAUCCAAGGUGGUUUAAAUAGUAUGCCUGUAGGAACAUGGAAACCAACAAUAGGUACAUGCGUGAAGUUGGGUUGAAGCAUCUUUCAUGGUCACGAGCUCUGUGGUUGCCUUGUCUAAUGAGCAUAGAGGCCGACCAUGGAUGCACUUGAACUCACCUAGGUGUUUGGCCGUGAUCGGAUGCUCCAUGGAUGCCCCUUGCGUGUAAGAGGAUGGAGACCAAUAAUGGAACCCCAGGCUGAUUUUAGCUUCUGCUCUGAUCAAGAUCGACAUGUUGCUUCAGUGUUGGAGAGAGACCAAGGAUGGACAUACUCAGGCUGGUCGAAGAAUUCUUCCAUGGUCACAGUCGCUGUGGUUGCACCUGUGUUCCAGGUGUGCAUAGCCCAACAAAGAAAACACCUGAGCCGAUUUAAGCAUCGCCAUGUUUAGGCACUCCAGGGUAGCCUCUUGUGUGGGAGCAUGAAGUCCAACAAUCAACACAUUCCAGCUGAUUCAGACUUUUCACGGUCAAAAGGUCUCUGUGUUCGGGCCAUGGGGAUGAAUGUGGACACACGUGAACUGAUUAAGCACUUGGCUGUCAACAGGGGCUCCACUGGUCGUCCUUAUGUUGGUGCAUGUAGACCAAGAUGCCCCAAGGAGAUUUCAGCUUCUGUCAUGGUAAAGAUUGUCAAGAGACCAAGGUACCUGAACGACUAAAUAAAUGAAAUGUGGUUCGCAAGAGGCAAUGGGAUAAGGUCCCAGUUUCCUUUAUCGUCUGCUCUGCUCUGUACUCCUCGGAAUUGACGCACUCGCGCUGAUACAGGUGCUUCCAUGGUUACAUGCUUUCUGAUUGCAUACGUGUGUUUGGAGCAUAGAGACCAAUGUGAGUAGUGGUUGAAGUGUUUGUCUUUCUAGUGUCCUUUUUUUUUUUUUAAGGUGUUAACUAUAUAUCGUUAAAAAGUACAAAUCGUAAUCAAGUAGGGGCGACUGUGGAAUUGAUUCUAUUGAUUAAUAGGGGUUGAUUGUAUUGAUUAAUGCAUACACGAAAAACACUAAUUAAUGAGAGCGAUACAUCGAUCCUAUUUGUCUCCUAUAGGAGAGUGAAAAUGAUCUUACAGACGGAUUAGAGAUAUUAAGCCUCUUUUUGUGUUUUUGUGAGUAAGAGGGUCUUGAAAUUAUUAUUAGUGAAUUAAUGAAUUAGUCGAUAAAAAACUGAAUGAAGGAAAAGAGGGACAAUAAUGGAUCGAUGAUGACCACUGGUGGCGUAUGAGUCCUAUACGAUGAAUACAUGUCUGGAACUCUGAGGUCCAAAUGAAAGGCAAUCUAGUCCAGUGCCCUUUGUGAAGCGAUACCAUUAGACAGAUACCAUGAAUUUAAAGGGAUCAUGUUUUGGGUUUAUGUUCAUGCAUUCUCUAUUUUUAUAAUCAGAUCAAGGAGAUAAUCAAUAAUGUAUAAACAAGCAAAGAUUAAGGUCAUGAGGCAUUGUCCAAUUACAAAAAUAUGUAGUGAGACAAGAAAUGCUAUUAAUAUAUAUUGAAAACACACUCCCAUCCACCAAUAGUAAAUGAUACAGAGGUGUUGCCUCUUGGGCUAAGGAUUGUAUAGCUGUCGUGUUAAAUAGUAAUUGGCAAUGUUCAUAAUCCAUGUCAGCGGCAAGGUCAUUAUUGUUCUUUUAUUAGGAGAAAUUAAAUAAACAUUUCUCCCAACUGCAGAUUCCCGAAAUGACCCACUAAAUGAAAGAUAGAAUGCAAAGACCAGUGGAAAUUAGGUGUCUAGCUUUUUGUUAUCAUCUGCUCUGUUCCCUGCAGAGUGGAUGCACUCAAGUUGAUUUAAGCAUCUUCCAUGAUCACAAGUUCUAUGGCUGCAUCUAUGUGUUAGAGAGUGGAAAUCAAGAGAAGUAAGAGUCAGUGUUCUCUCAGUUUGGGAGGCUUGUUUAAGGGUAUUCACUGUGGUAUUAAAAAUGUGAAAUAUAAUCAGCGAAUGCCAACCAUUGCCCCCGAAUGCCAUUAACAUGAAGCGUUGUGUUUAUUAAUCCAUAUACAACACAUUGAGGUCAGUUAAUGAAAGAAAUGAAUUGCUCGGGGAAAUAAUUCUAUAGACAGAUGUUACAGAUUAGUUCAUGCCAACCGUGCACUAAUGAUAAAGAGUUUGAAAUGAGCAUGUUGGCUAAUCCAUACUCAAUACUGAGGUCAGUUAGCAAAGCAGAUCUUGACUAUUUUCCCUGUAGAAAAUUAUUUUAUGUACCGAAGUUAGGGGUAUUAAAGCUAUUUUUAAUAAUCUCAUGGGUAUUUUUUCUUAGUGAAUUAGUGAAUUAAUCUCUAACAAAAUUAUAAUUCAGUGAAGAAAAAGAGUGAUAUCUGGACCAAUACUGAGGGCCAGUAGCAUAUGAGGCAAGGUUGAAGAAGGCUGAUCUACAACUUUGUGAUCCAAUGCAAAUCCAGUGCAAAAAGAAAUCUAGUCCAUUGCUUCUGUGAUAAAUGGUCCUGUAAGCAGUAGUUAGAGAUAUUCAAGAAUAUUAUUCUUGGGUUUUUGAGUUUCACAAAUAUUGACUGUUUAUUAAAAAUUAAUCAAUGCAAUAAUAACUAAAAAUGUAUGAAUGAAGGAAGGGAAAAUAGGGCCAAAUGUGGAAUAGCUAUAGCAUAUGUAAUGAAACUAACAUCAUUACCAAUCCAUUUCUAAGGAACAGAAGUCCAUUAAAAAUUUAUGAAGGCGUUUACACCUCAUCAGAAGGGAUGUGUGGACAGAGAAUGGAUGCACUUGGGGUGACGUGAGCAUCGUCCAUGGCCACGAGCUCUGUGGUUGCAUGUAUGCAUUAGGAGCGUGGAGACCCAUAAUGGACGCACUCAAUGUCAUUCACGUGUCUUCAGGUUUAGUAGCUGUGUGCUUUGCAUCUGCGUCUUAGGAGCCUGGACGACAAUAAUGGAUGUGUUCCAGCUGAUAGAAGAUCAUCCAUGGUCGGGUGCACUAUGUUUUGGGGAGUAUGGAGACCAGUAAUGGGACCCGUCGAGAUUUAAGGAUUCUUCCACGGUCACGUGAUCUCGGGUUGCAUUCAUGUGUUAGGAACAUGGAGACCAUAAUGGUCGCGCUCGGCUGAAUUAGACUUUCCACCAUAGUCAUGAGCCCUGUUUGCCUCUAUGUGUUAAGAGCAUGGAUCACAACAAUGAACUCCCUAGGGAUGAUGCUCCAUGGACAUACAUUCGCCUCUGUAAUAGGGAGGAUGGAGAUUAAUUGCUUAGAAGAGACACACGGAACCUGAUUUAAAGAUUCUUCCUUGAUCUCGAACUGCAGGGUUGCAUCACCUGUUUUAAGAGACUGGAGACCAGUAAUAGAAGCUCAAGGUGAUUUCAGCCUCUCUUGUGAUCAAGGUCACCAUGUUUCCCUUCUCUAGGAAAGAGCCCAAGGCGAG